rnacentral:sRNA from 1 species
UAGGUUGCCUACCCCUGGUCUAGCCACAGAAUGGGAGCAAUGCAGACAGAAGCAGUACAGGCUUCCACAAACUGCCCUGCAGUUGUGCCUCAAUCCUGAGUCAGAGGGAGUGUCUUUAUGGUGAGGAUAGGGGGCUGUCUCCAUCCAUAGUCAACC